rnacentral:rRNA from 1 species
CAGUAGCCGCGGUAAUACGAAGGGGGCUAGCGUUGUUCGGAAUCACUGGGCGUAAAGCGCACGUAGGCGGAUAUUUAAGUCAGGGGUGAAAUCCCGCAGCUCAACUGCGGAACUGCCUUUGAUACUGGGUAUCUUGAGUAUGGAAGAGGUUAGUGGAAUUGCGAGUGUAGAGGUGAAAUUCGUAGAUAUUCGCAGGAACACCAGUGGCGAAGGCGGCUAACUGGUCCAUAACUGACGCUGAGGUGCGAAAGCGUGGGGAGCAAACAGGAUUAGAUACCCCAGUAGUCCCUGUCUCUUAUAC